rfam:Enterococcus columbae DSM 7374 = ATCC 51263 genomic scaffold acyDG-supercont2.6, whole genome shotgun sequence.
GGUUAAUAAUUAACUGUACCGAAGACAGUAGGUGAGGUAACUCAUAAAUCCUACCGAGGACAUUUAUUGAGAAAAUCAAUGGUCCCUCUAUGUCUGCGGUGGCAUAGAGUUUUUUCGUAUAGAGA